GCACCUCUGCAGCCAGCGCCCGCCCGCGCCCCCAGGCCGGCACGCUCGGCCCCGCGCCCGCGCAGCUCCAGCGCCCUCCCCGCAGCGCCCACUGCACGCCGGGGCUCCAGCUCCCCGCGCCGCGCUCCCUCCCGCUCGCCGCAGCCAGGCUCCGCCCCGAGCCGCGACCUGGCGCCUGCUGACCCCGCUGGUCCCGCGCUGCACCCGCGCGCGUGGCGGUAGUGGCUGUGCGCGGCUCUGCGGGAGCGGCGCCCCAGCUUCCUUUCAGCGCGGUGCUGGUGCAGGCAGGCACAGGUAAAGGUGCCCUGCAGCCCUUCACCCCCCGGCCGGCGGGACCCUGGGCUGGGCGGCAGAAGGAGCACAGGAGCAGGCGGUGGGGGGAGGCAGUGGAAUCGGAGACCGGCCCUGGGAGGGCCCUGAGGCGGCGCGGGCACCGUCUCCACCGGCUGCUCUUACCCCGGCGGGAAGGUGGCUUUGGCAGGCUGGGCUGGGAAUUCCGACGGCGGAUUCUAGGUCCCAGGAAGUUUCUCAACUCGAGGCCUCUGGCAAAUAGCUGAACCUCUUUGAACUUUCAGGGUUCUGUAUGCGGAAUGCAAGGGUUAGACGUGAGAACAGGGCUUCCACCACGCUGGGACUCCACAUGUCCUCCCCAGGCCAGUAUUACACCUGCAUUUACAGGCUUCCGGCCUGUGGCUUCCACAUGGAGAAAGGAAGAGUGAUUCUUGUCUACAUGCAAACUGGCAAAGCUGUUGUCAGUUGCAAUGAAGCGAUGGUGCCAGUACUCAUUUUGAGUGUUUUCAAAACUUUUCCCAUGGGAAAUAAGUUCUGCAUGUCCCUUGUCUUUCCUCCAUAUGACAUUCAUGCUUCCUGCACCAGAGAUGGGAAAAAAGCACCAUGAAGAGGAUGCAGUCGAUUCUGUGUUCUUGGGAAGAUCAGGGCAGAGCAGAAAGAGCACUGCAUUAAAAGCAUCAGCCCUACAGCAAUGAAGGACAGCACAUUAGGUCUUAUGUGUCUGGUGACCAGGACCAGGAAGUACAAUGGGUCCCUCAGGAAUGCAGCUUGGAUGGGUAACACCUUAGGGUUAGAUGGAUCGCAGGCCCCACAAUGCCGUAGAAACAAUGAGAGCAAGAAAUGGGAGCUAGAAUUGAACUAGAUUAGGUCUCUUCUACUCAUUGGGGCCGUGAAACACAGUUUUAGUUGAGUUCACAGAAAUUUCUGGUAAGAUUUGUUGUCUGAGCAUGUAGAAUGAGUUCCACAUUAGUUC
rnacentral:lncRNA from 1 species